AGAUGCAGUGACUCCAAACGGGCUCACACGGUUUUCUGAGAAACAUAAAGGGAAACCGAAUCCACCAAUAUAUAUAUAUUUUUUUUUGAGACGGCGUCUCGCUCUGUCACCCAGGCUGGAGUGCAGUGGCGCGAUCUCGGCUCACUGCAAACUCCGCCUCCCGGGUUGACGCCAUUCUUCUGCCUCAGCCUCCCGAGUAGCUGGUACUACAGGCGCCCGCCGCCACGCCCGGCUAAUUUUUUUGUAUUUUAGUAGAGACAGGGAGUCACCGUGUUGCCAGGGCUGGUCGCGAACUCCUGAGCUCAGGCAGUCCGCCCGCCUUGGCCUCCCAAAGUGCUAGGAUUACAGGCGUGAGCCACCGCGCCCGGCCCACCAAUACUCAAUUGGUUUGACUUCAGUUGAGGAAACCAGAAAAAAUUUAAAUAUAUUUAUGGAAAGAAGUUCUGGAGACUGGGAAGUCCAAGGUUGAGGGACACUUCUGAUUAUUCACAAUAGUGAAGAUGUAGAAACAACCUAAGCAUCUAUCAAAAGAUAAAGAAAAUGUGGUAUACGUACACAAUAGAAUAUUACUUGGCCUCAAAAAAGGAGAAAAUUCUGUGAUUUACUACAACGUGGAUGAGCCUGGAGGACAUUAUGCAAAGUGAAAUACACAUAGAAAUACACGGAUACAGAAAGAAGAUACUACACGAUCUCACGUAGAUGUGGAAUCUUAAAAAGUCGAACUCAUAGAAACAGUGGAAGAGUGGUUACCAGAGGUCAGGUGGCAAGGGUGGGAAAUGAGGAGAUGUUGGUCAGAUGUUUUAAAAAGAGAACAAACUUGCAGUUAUAACAUGAAUAAAUUCUGGAGACCUA